AUGAGUGAUGCUACUUGGGAUGAUGCUCAAUUAGGUAGAGGACACAUCAAUGGUGGGGUAGCCUUAGGCAUAGCUAAUAGGUGGAGUAGGAGAAGAUGUACAUAUGAUGGUGAUGUGAGCACAUAUAUAGGAGUGAAGCUAGUAAAAAAAUACAACAAGCUUGCAGCGAGAAGAGGAAUGGAAGAGGAUUUGGAGGAGAGGAGAUGGGGGCCAUGGUAUAAAUUUAGAGGAUUAGGAAAAGGGUGUGCACAUGAUGGCGAAAUGAUAUGGAGUGGAGAAAUUGGAUCUGCCUUCUUUUGGGGAAGGGGGGCAUCAUGGGUGGCGCACGCCACCUCCCCUUGA
rnacentral:rRNA from 1 species